GGUGGGAUGACGUCAAGGUCAGCAUGGCCUUUAUAUCUUGGGCUACACACACGCUACGAUGGAUGGCACAAUAGGUUGCAACAGCGCGAGCUGAAGCUAAUCCCCAAAGCCAUCCUCAGUACAGAUUGCAGGCUGAAACCCGCCUGCAUGAAGUCGGAGUUGCUAGUAACCGCAAAUCAGCAUGUUGCGGUGAAUACGUUCUCGGCCUU
rnacentral:rRNA from 1 species